ACGCACGCCCUCCAUCCGCCUCCCCUCCCUCUGUACUUCUUCUUGUUCUUCUAGAUGACCCCUGCGGUUGGGUUGGUUAUAGAGAGAUAAAUAUACCUCUACGCAGUUCCUGAGGGCAAAGUUGAGACCCCAUCCAUGAACUAAAUCAUUCUGCAUUCAGGAGAGGCACCAAUGAGUAAAGGCAGAGCAAGUCCAUAUAUAACGGCAGGCACUGGCCGGUAACAUAUACUGACCUGAAUCAUAUGCCAUACGCAUCGCCAUGCCACCCUUGCGAAGACUGGAGCCAUUAUUUCAACAGACCUGUUUUACAGCAAAACAUAAAUCUAAGUAAUUAGCAACAGAGAAGCGUAAGUUAGAUAUCUCUGUAAUAGUAUAGAUGUGGAUAGAACUCAGCAAAGAGGAUAGUAAGAACAUACGCAACACAAGGUGGAAGAUGAGGGUCAGCACACCAGCCUGGUCUUUCCUCUGUCUCCCUGCAACAACACAAGUUGCCAGCUCAAGUUACUACAUCAGAACAAAGAAAUCUAUUUAUUUGCUUUCUUUCAUAUUGUAACUGCACCACUCACUUGUGGACCUCUCGGUCACCUCUUCUUUUGGUCAUCUGCCAAGUAAGUCCUCGGUCAGGUUCUAAGCCAGGCUAGGAGAUAAUUAGACCAUCUUUGUUAACAAAGUUUGAUGUGCCUGUAAUCCAACACCAAUAUGUAUACGUCAGUCCUCAUAUCAAGAAAAAAUUGUCUGGAUAACUGAACAGUGGAAGCAUACUCCUGUGCGUUGAAAUGAUCCACCCCAAGGUCUUCAUCCCAGAUGAAUAUGUACUCAUAAGCUGCCACAAUAUCAGGAUGCAAGAAUCUUUUGGCAUACCACCUAGAGGUCCUGCAUAUUUGAGAUCAAAUGUCAGCACACCAAGCACCAGAUGGUAGAAGGGUACAAAAUUUAGGACUUCUGGUUUGAAUUAAUUCAAUACAUAACAUGUGAGCAAUGUCUGUGAGGUACCAAGUUUCUAACUUAAUAACAAUGGAGAUGAACAUGAAGAGCCACAAAGUAUAACACUAAUUUCAAUCUCAACAAUGCAUAACGUUUUGAUCUUAAAGAAAGAACUAGCUUAAAGAUAAGGCACACAUGCUUGUAGAUUUGAAUAUUUGGCAAAGAGAUAGGAAUUCAAGACAUUUCUCAAGAUGUUCAGUUAUAAAAUAGUUCCAGCUACAAUAACGAUCUGAUUACAAAUCCAUGUGUAAUGCCACUAUUUUAUGCUACAUUUGUUAUUCAGGUCCAGUUGCGUAAUUGGUCAAAAGGACAUUUUGAGGUGCUUGUCCAGAUGUGAUUAUUUCUCUUCAGUAACAGGUCAAUCAUAUAUUUCUUUCAUCUAACUUUGUGCUUUGUUAUCUACAAACUAAUAGGUCAUUCUGUCUACAUACUAUCAUGCCCUAAAACUGUGAUAGGUUUGCCCCUAUUUUUGGUUGUGUUGCCAAAUCAUUUCAAAAUAUGUCCUUUUAAUGGAGUUAGAAUAUUUUAACGUUACAAUGGCAACCUAAAAAUAAUGGAAGCUUUCCAGCAUUACCAAAGUUCCACUCCUGUUUCUAUUCAUUUUGGUCGCUCUAGGAAUUUCUAGCCAUUUGUACGUACCUAGUGUUAUUGUUGAAAAUUGAAUUAGUAAAAUAGCUUGUGAUAAAAAAAUCCCUAAAUGUUUUCCCCUUAGGACAGAGUUGUUGUUUUUGAGGAGCAAGGUACACGAUAUAUAUGUAGGGCCUCUUUGGUCAACGUCUCAAUGGAUAAAAGCCAAUGCAUGUUCACUUUACAAAAAAGGAGAGAAAACCUUCAUGUGUUUCAUAUGCUUACUCGUGGUGAUGCCAACCUUUUGCUAUUGCAAACGUUACUGGUUCUCUAAUAUCAAGAUCACCUUCUUUUCUGUUGCAGCAAACAUUACAUGAACUUUCACGAGUUUGUUUACAAUUUCGAACUCCUCCAAUUGAACGGCUCGUCUACUGAAGUACUCUGUUUGUGUACAGUUUUGUAGGAGUUUGGAGUACUCUGAGCACCUACCUGUAGUGUGCCAUCAAAACCACGUGCACUACAGGAGUUUUGCAUGGCAUGAGUAAUCUUCCUCUCCUUCCUCCCUCACAGUCUCUAGCCGCCCUCUCCCUCUAGAUUCAAAUUUAGUUCUUACGUGCAAGAGUUUGCAUCAUGAAUGAAAGCAGAGCUGAUUCUCAUUUCAGUACUAGGUGGGUAGGGAUUAAUCCAUCAAACUGAAUGAUUAUAGUUAGGAAACCUGUCAAUAUGGUUAUAUGUAUUAGUAAUAAGAUUUUAAAUCAAUUCAAACAGGAAAAGCAUGUGAUUUUUUCUAUUUAGUACUCCCUCCAUCCCAAAAUUCUUGUCGUAGCUUUGUCUAGAUACGGAUGUAUCUAAUACUAAAAUGUGACUUGAUACAUUCGUAUUUAGAAAAAUCUAAGACAAGAAUUUUGGGUCGGAGGGAGUAUUUAGUAUUUCUGGAAAACUAUACGCGUUCUUGCUAAUUUCAUACUACUAGAUUACAGUCGUACAUGCUCUUGCUUGUCUACAAAAUUUCAUUCUUGCAUCUAACCCUGAUUAAAGAAAUGCUUGAAUAGCAGGAUGGCAUUGGGUUGUCAUGUUUUACUGUCAUUUGCGUGUAGUACUCUGUUGACUCAAGUGCUUUGCUAUUAUAAUGUUGUCAUUUACGUUUAGUAAUCUGUUGACUCACAUGGCACACUAUGUGACUGCAUGUGGCCAAGAAGGUUUAUGAAUGUCUUAGUAUUUUGUUAAUAACAUACCUCAGAAGCUAGAACAGAUUGGUUUCAUGCAGGUGCCAUUCUACUUGUAGUUUAUUUCCAGGGUGGUUUUGCUAUUUAUAGAUGUAUCAUGUAGGUAGGGUAAAACAUCCUCUUGGUCUCUUUUCUGUGGUCUGUGGUUGUAGCUUAAAAUUGGUGCAUUCAUGCGAAAAAGAUCAAAUUGGUCCCUGUAUAUACAAGUGAACUGUAGAGAAAGAUUCCACAUGGCGUUGGCUUUAGGGAAGUAUCACGCAAAUAAAGGAGAGAGAUUACACAGUGGGAUGAUGUUUCUUGCUAUAUUCUCAACUGAAUUGAGUAUCAUACAAAGAUAUCAUAUUCCCAAACUUGCCUCUGGGAAUAAUAGCAGUCAAGUAGUCAUGCUGGGUUUUCUAUGAUCCAAAUAAGAGCACACUUGCCUUUGUUUUAACAUACAGAUUAAAUGUUGAGAAGUAUAUUAUUCUGAUUGCUUAGUCAAUGUAUCGAUAAUAGUAUGGUGCAUGCCGACUCUUGUUCUCUUAUCGUUUCCUAAGGAUCACUUCUAAGGAUAUAAGGAAAGGCAUUUCCUUCCCAUGCUUAUUGACUGCAUAUCUCCUGGUCCUGUCAUUUGGUAUGUGCUAUCAACAUUGUUAAUCAUUUAACUUUAUUUUUCUUUCCCUUUACAGCCUACUUGAAUGGAUAUGGUUCCUGAGAGGCCAUUUCUUAUGUGCAUCAGGUCCUGAAGGUGGAUGUUGCUUAUUUAGAUAUCUAUGAUUCCAAUUUAUUCAAAAGGUUCAUGUCAUACUGGAUGUUAUUCAUUGAGUAGCUUCAAACAAUAUGGCAUGAACAUAUUUGUUUUCCAUUUGGCCAAUAAUGAAAUGAUCUUUGUGCAUAUAAAAUGGUUAUCGAUACCAUAAUUCUUGGUUUUAAUAAGCUUCUUGCACUAAA